rnacentral:rRNA from 1 species
UACGUAGGUGGCGAGCGUUGUCCGGAAUUACUGGGUGUAAAGGGCGCGUAGGCGGGCGCUUAAGUCAGACGUGAAAUACCGAGGCUCAACCUCGGGUCUGCGUUUGAAACUGGGCGUCUUGAGUGUCGGAGAGGGAAGCAGAAUUCCUAGUGUAGCGGUGAAAUGCGUAGAUAUUAGGAGGAACACCAGUGGCGAAGGCGGCUUUCUGGACGAUAACUGACGCUGAGGCGCGAAAGCGUAGGGAGCAAAUAGG